GCGAAAUAGCUCAGUUGGGAGAGCUAGACUAUAGAGCGAAAGGUCCCUGGUUCGAUCCCGGGAUUCGGCA
rnacentral:tRNA from 1 species